CCUACGGGUGGCAGCAGUGGGGAAUAUUGGGCAAUGGGCGAAAGCCUGACCCAGCAAUGCCGUGUGAAUGAAGAAGGUCUUAGGAUUGUAAAAUUCUGUCCUAUGGGAGGAAAAAAAUGACGGUACCAUAGGAUUAAGCCCCGGCUAACUACGUGCCAGCAGCCGCGGUAAUACGUAGGUGGCGAGCGUUGUCCGGAAUUACUGGGCGUAAGGAGAGCGUAGGCGGCACUACAAGUCGCAUGUGAAAUACCCGGGCUUAACUCGGGGGUUGCAUGGGAAACUGUCGUGCUUGAGUCCAGGGAAGGCAGGCGGAAUUCGUCGUGUAGCGGUGAAAUGCUUAGAUAUGAGGAAGAACCCCGAUGGCGAAGGCGGCUUGCUGCAGCGGAACUGACGCUGAGGCUCGAAAGCGCGGGUAGCAAACAGGAUUAGAUACCCGAGUAGUC
rnacentral:rRNA from 1 species